AACUCUGUGUGAAAAAGAUAAACUUUCCUAGAAACUUUAGUUUCUUCGUCAAGUUUCCUAUUUUUACUUGGAGUU
rnacentral:ncRNA from 1 species